ACCAGCCAUUUGAGGACUGAUGUGGUAACAGUGGGGUGACCUUCCUCUCUGCCUCUCUCCUGGGAGCAGGACGAGCCAUUCCCUGCUCUGCAGAAGGCAAAGGGAGGGGGGCAGUGAUGACAUCAGCGGGAGGGCCUGGAGAGAGACAUGUUUGUGCAGCACAUUCUAUGAACAUGGGAGGAUGAGAUCACUGAACCAUCUACUGCACGAACAGAGGCAGCACCGCAGCCAGACACAGGGCCAUGUGCUCAGAGUCGAUGUGAAGCAAGUUCGAUCAGUAAGGAGGUCAUGUCUGCUUCAGACAACCACUUACAUGAUUAAGGGACAGGGUAGGCUGCUGGAGCAAAGAGGUCCUGCCAUGGACAGAGUAUUUGUGUCUCCACAAAAUAUAUAUGUUGAAACUUAAUCUCCAAGGGUCUCUGAGUCCUCCAGCCAAUGGAGCACCUUGGAAGUGACAUUCUGUGACCUCUGGCCGUGCCAUUCCUGCCUCAUUCACUGGAAUGCUUGCCGCCAGGUCAGAAGACCAACCAUCCUAUGUGACCAUGCCAGAGAGGCCACAUGUGGGUACUCCAGCCCACAGUCCUGCAGCUCUCACCCAUCCCAUCUCAGAAGUGGAUCCUCUUGCCUCAGGUGACCUGUCCCCACAUCUGAGUCCUCCCAGCUGAGGCCCAAGUGUCAUGGAACAGAAAAAGGCCAGCUCCGAUGUGCCCUGACCCAUAGAAUCCCCAAGAAUAAUAAAGGGACUGU